rnacentral:rRNA from 1 species
UACAGAGGUCCCAAGCGUUGUUCGGAAUUACUGGGCGUAAAGGGCUCGUAGGUGGUCAACUAAGUCAUACGUGAAAUCCCUCGGCUUAACCGGGGAACUGCGCCUGAUACUGGUUGACUUGAGUUUGGGAGAGGGACGCGGAAUUCCAGGUGUAGCGGUGAAAUGCGUAGAUAUCUGGAGGAACACCGGUGGCGAAGGCGGCGUCCUGGACCAAUACUGACACUGAGGAGCGAAAGCCAGGGGAGCAAACGGG